AUCAUAAUGUGACGUCUAGAUGCUUACGGUUCUCCUCGCCCCGUGAAAUCAACCGUUCGAUCUUCUCGAUGACAACUUGUUCAAAAAUAUCCGCGGCCGUGUUAAGAAUAAUUUCUGUGUCACGUGCCGCUUAUCUUUCAUUUCAUCCUAAAAUAUUUAAGAAAAUUAAUCUUCGAAUUCUUGUACUUUGCUCAAUCUGUUUCAAUCUAUUUAUUUAUCUAUCGAUAAAUAUUUUUUAACGUAUCAUUUCGAUUCUAUUAAUAGAAGUCAUAUUAAUUAUACAUACCCGAAUUCAUCAUAGAUAACACGGCUAUGAGAUAAUAAUUUCAAACAUCUUGAAUUUGACUUGUCCUUAUCAGUUUCAUCAAAUUUACGAACUUUUAUUUAAUAUCACAAUCCAAUUACUUAUAAUCCAAUGAUUAAGUAAACGAGACAAACGAUUAUUAUCAUAAUCGAGUUAAAAAUCUAAAGAUCCAAACGUAAUUAUUCCUCAUUGAGUAAGAAGGGGAAGUGUCAAUCUCCAGCGGCGUAAAAACACAAAUUUUUGAUGUCUCCUGGGACGAGGCGGAAGUCGAGAAGGAAAACGUUUUCGCAUUGACAUCGAUUCUCUUUGUAGAAAGAAGACGAAGAGGCAAGAAGGAUAAAUCGAACGACAAAAGGCUAUGGGUACCGUUUCGAUCGAUCUUCGAUCAGUGGACACAAAUGACAGACGAGUCCAGUUGGGUGGAAGUUCUCCUGCCGCGGGAUCCUCAAACGAGGAUCCAGAACCGGAUGAAUCGACCUCCCUCUACAACGAAGACUGUCUUCGGGGUGCGCUGCAACCGUCCCCGCCCGAAGAUCAAAAGGGAAAUGGUGGAAGAUUUCCGGCGGAGGAUCCUCAAUCUUACGGUCAAAUAUUGAAAUUCUCUUAUCCAAAGGGGAAACGAAAUAAUAAUAAUAAUAAUAACGGGAAGAAGCCUUUCAAACGUAGAGUGACAUUCGCUUUGUGAAAAAUUUACGUUGAAUAUCUUUGUUGAAUAAAAAUGAGAAAAUAAAUUUCAUUUUAAUUCGGA